rnacentral:misc_RNA from 1 species
GAUGAAGAACGUAGCGAAAUGCGAUAAGUAGUGUGAAUUGCAGAAUUCAGUGAAUCAUCGAAUCUUUGAACGCACAUUGCGCCCCUUGGUAUCCCGAGGGGCAUGCCUGUUCGAGCGUCAUUUCACCACUCAAGCCUGGCUUGGUGUUGGGCGACGUCCCCUUUGGGGACGCGCCUCGAAACGCUCGGCGGCGUGGCACCGGCUUUAAGCGUAGCAGAAUCUUUCGCUUUGGAAGUCGGGGCCCCGUCUGCCGGAAGACCUACUCGCAAGGUUGACCUCGGAUCAGGCAGGGAUACCCGCUGAACUUAAGCAUACAAUAAGCGGAGGA